UGCAAGUCGAACGGACUGUUCUAUAGAGUAAUCUAAGGGACAGUUAGUGGCGAAAGGGUGAGUAAUGGAUAGGUAACGUACCCCAUGCUUCGGGAUAGCGUCGUUUACCUUCGGGUAAACUUCCGAAAGGGGCGGUAAUACCGGAUAAUAUCGCGGGUUGAUAGACCUGUGAUCAAAGAUUUAUCGGCAAGGGAGCGGCCUAUCUCCUAUCAGCUUGUUGGUGAGGUAAUGGCUUACCAAGGCGACGACGGGUAGCGGGACUGAGAGGUUGGCCCGCCACAUCGGGACUGAGACACUGCCCGGACCUCCACGGAGGGCUGCAGUAACGAAUCUUGCGCAAUGGGCGAAAGCCUGACGCAGCGACGCCGCGUGUGGGAAGAAGUCUUUCGGGAUGUAAACCACUGUCGGGGUGAAGAAAGUGCACUUCGGUGUAUUGAUCUAACCCCAAGAAAGUCACGGCUAACUUCGUGCCAGCAGCCGCGGUAAGACGAAGGUGGCUAGCGUUGUUCGGUAUCACUGGGCUUAAAGCGUGUGUAGGCGGGAAAGUAAGCGUCUUGUGAAAGCCCUCGGCUUAACCGAGGAAUCGCUUGGCGAACUGCUUUUCUUGAGGCAAGUAGGGGUGCAUGGAACUCUUGGUGGAGCGGUGGAAUGCGUAGAUAUCAAGAGGAACGCCGAUGGUGAAGACAAUGCACUGGGCUUGUUCUGACGCUGAGACACGAAAGCGUGGGGAGCGAACGGGAUUAGAUACCCCGGUAGUCCACGCCGUAAACGAUGCCUACUAGGUUGUGGUGGUUCUGACACCAGCACGGCCGAAGCAAAAGUGUUAAGUAGGCCGCCUGGGGAGUACGGUCGCAAGGCUAAAACUCAAAGGAAUUGACGGGGGCUCACACAAGCGGUGGAGCAUGUGGAUUAU
rnacentral:rRNA from 1 species